GCUCAGUGCACACCUGAAGAGACCAUGAGUGUGCCAUUUAGUAGACACCAUGUUACAGGAAGAGGAAUGAUCAGAGGAACACCAGCAGGAAAGACCUUGGUAUCGAGGCUGUAAUCUCCUAUUGGGGAGCUCCAUAGCUCUUUAUGAUCCUGCUAUGGGGGGUGAAGCCUAAAAAAUUGAGCUGGGGAUAUACUUUCUUGACAGAAGCCCUGAGAGGGACUAAUUCCUCCCAAGAGUAAUGGUUUUUGCACAUUCGUGGUUGGCGGUAAUUGGUAUUCACAGUGUCAGGAUUUGCAUGAAUGGGCUGGACAAUAAACAGCCGUAUUUUGAUUGAAGUAGUAAUUACUGUUUCUUCAUUAAUUCAUCAACCACAUGCGUCUUUGAAGUGUCCCUUGUGAUGCCAUCUCAUGUCACUCUCAGUGGGGAAGAAAAUCUUGAUUGAUCUGUUUCACUCUCUCACAGUUAAUCAAUAGAAUCAACUUUAAUGUAAGCUACUAACUUUUUUUAAAAAAGAUUUUAUUUGUUUAUUCAUGACAGAGAGAGAGAGAGAUUGAGAGGCAGAGACACAGGCAGAGGGAGAAGCGGGCUCCAUGCGGGGAGCCCGAUGUGGGACUCCAGGACCACACCCUGGGCUGAAGGCGACGCUAAACCACUGGGCCACCGGGGGCUGCCCAGCUACUAACCUUUAUACAAAGAAGUGUGGUCCAAGUAUAUCAGCAAGCUCAUCAAGCAGGGGACCUCAGGCAGUUACGCACAAACUGUGUUUUCCCGUUUGA
rnacentral:lncRNA from 1 species